GUUAGGAAUAUUGGACAAUGGGCGCAAGCCUGAUCCAGCCAUGCCGCGUGAGUGAUGAAGGCCUUCGGGUUGUAAAGCUCUUUAGUCCACGAAUAUAAUGACUGUAGUGGAAGAAUAAGCCCCGGCUAACUUCGUGCCAGCAGCCGCGGUAAUACGAAGGGGGCGAGCGUUAUUCGGAAUCACUGGGCGUAAAGCGUGCGUAGGCUGUUUUGUAAGUCAGAAGUGAAAGCCCAGGGCUUAACCCUGGGAUUGCUUUUGAAACUACAAGACUCGAAUUCGGGAGAGGAUAGCGGAAUUGUCAGUGUAGCAGUGAAAUGCGUAGAUAUUGACAGGAACACCAGUGGCGCAAGCGGCUAUCUGGACCGAUAUUGACGCUGAAGCACGAAAGCGUGGGGAGCAAACAGGAUUAGAUACCCUAGUAGUCC
rnacentral:rRNA from 1 species